UGAGUAAUACGUCGGAACGUGCCCAAUCGUGGGGGAUAACGCAGCGAAAGCUGUGCUAAUACCGCAUACGAUCUACGGAUGAAAGCAGGGGAUCGCAAGACCUUGCGCGAAUGGAGCGGCCGAUGGCAGAUUAGGUAGUUGGUGAGGUAAAGGCUCACCAAGCCUUCGAUCUGUAGCUGGUCUGAGAGGACGACCAGCCACACUGGGACUGAGACACGGCCCAGACUCCUACGGGAGGCAGCAGUGGGGAAUUUUGGACAAUGGGCGAAAGCCUGAUCCAGCCAUGCCGCGUGCAGGAUGAAGGCCUUCGGGUUGUAAACUGCUUUUGUACGGAACGAAACGGCCUUUUCUAAUAAAGAGGGCUAAUGACGGUACCGUAAGAAUAAGCACCGGCUAACUACGUGCCAGCAGCCGCGGUAAUACGUAGGGUGCAAGCGUUAAUCGGAAUUACUGGGCGUAAAGCGUGCGCAGGCGGUAAUGUAAGACAGUUGUGAAAUCCCCGGGCUCAACCUGGGAACUGCAUCUGUGACUGCAUUGCUGGAGCACGGUAGAGGGGGAUGGAAUUCCGCGUGUAGCA
rnacentral:rRNA from 1 species